AUGCUACCUCGUGAACAACAUCUUAUGAAAAGACGUGUUUAGCUUUGUGCUAAUAUGGUAGGCUACCUGAAAAUGAAGUGUGAGCAUGGUAUUAAUAACAUCACUGAUUUUGUUAACCGAAUUAGGAUGUUCUUUCAAUACUAUACAGGCGAUAGUUGAUGGCAGCAGUACUUGUAUUUGUUCAUUACAACAGUUUUUUCCUGUUGAACACAACAGGAGCGUUGGCGUCCCAUGAAUGAAGUUGUUCAAACAGUAUACUUGGAAAUUAAUUCUCUGUCUUCUUUCUUCUUAGAAGACUUGGAAUCUCAAGCAAAAGAACAUGCAGAUUCUACCGGCUGCGAAGGUGCGUGGUGUAGUGGGGAGGCUGCAGCUGGAAUACAAAAAAGCAUUAAUGCAGAAGCUGCUACCAAAAGUAAAGCAAAGGAUGAAGUUAAUGAAGACAAGUUGGAAGGUGGCUUACCUAAUCAUUCUGACUCUGUCCUCAGUAUUAGCACAAUUGCCUCUGCUAUUGCUAAUGCUUCUUGCAGUGCUGAUCCUUCCCAGUUGGCUGCUAUGAUGAUGACACUCUCCAAUAAAAGUAGAAAAAAGUGUUUUCUUCCUGGAAUUGUUAAAGAGGUGGAACUCACAGCUGAUCGGGCAUUAUCCAGCCAUGUGGAAAACAGUACCUUUGAUAUGGAAAAAUAUCUCAAAAAAACAGAUGAGUUUGGACAUGAAAGUGAGUGUGAGAGUAUUGUGAAACAUGAGACAUCUGUCCAGAACAGUAUGUCUGAAAGCACUUUACUGGGUAGAGGUAGAAACAAAGAAACUUUUGUAGAAGACUUUUUAAAUGAUCGUAAUGAACAGCAACUAACAGAGAAGCAAUUCCUGGGUUAUUUUAAUGCAGAGAAUGGUGCUCAGAAUAUCUCCAGCUCAUCUGAUGCUUCUAAGCACGAGGACAGAACCGCCAGUAGCGUUAAGUAUUCAGAGAAGUUAUCAGAUAUAUUAAGUAGUAAACAUUUGCAGUUGAUGAGUGCUACUCUUAAAUCUGAUGUGCUGGAUGCCCAAACUUCACCUAAUAGAAACAAAGCACAGACAUGUGAAACUCCUUUAGCAGCUAAAAGAGAAAUGGCACAGGGACUUCUGUUCGCUCAACAGGCUGACAAUAUUAGUAGCAGAUGUUGUAGCAGGGAAGAUGGAGGAACAGUAGGUCAAGUGAAAAAUGCUGUUCCUGAACCAUGUAAUGAUUUGGAGAGAAGUACAAGAAACAUCAUGUCACUCAGCAGUGUAAAAUCUACCAAACAACCUGGUAAAUAUGUAGUAAGUCCUACAAAAGCAGCACCUGUGCAGAAAUUGAACACCGAUGAAGAGACGCGAAGCGCAAAGGUGGAGGAGAGAACCAAAGAGAGCAGUGCUGCUGGUGGCGGGAAUGUGAAACAUGUAACUUUUGAGAAGCUCUCUCCAACUUCCCAGAAUAGUACUGAGCAUCAAUCCGUUCUCCCCGAAUGUGACUUGCAGCCUUUGGAGGAUGAGCAGUAUAGCUUCAGACCUUCAACUUCACCGCUGAUUCACUCUUCUCCUAGUGACACGUCCGGAACUGCAUUUUCAGGGUAAAUUUCUUAGUGCGGGAUAUAAGAAUUGCUCGAGCUUCAUGGGGAUCUUGGAGUCACCAGGUUUUAAAGUGAAUGUUGUUUUUGACCUCAGUUUAUAGAAGACUUUUUUAAGACUAUGACUUCAUUCUUUGUGUAAGCUUGCUGUUAGGUUUUAAUGAGUGCGUGGGGGAGCAGUGUUAAGCAAUUGUUGGUUUAUUUCCCUUGCUGGUAUGACGAUAGAUUUGCUGGACAGGAGUGUAUCUGUUUCUGCUCAGGAUUGUCCAGUAAAGCAAGAAUACAGAAUACUCAGCCUGUAGCUAGUCAGAUACCAUGGAUACUUAAACCUUCGUGACGAUGGAACUGUUAACUACCAUAUUUAGUUUUUAUUUUUUUUGUUAUGGCUCUACUUACGUAAUAACAAAGCUUGAUAUUGUAUAAAACCAAUGAUGGCCUGGGUUGUUUUUUUUUUUUUUUUAACUUG
rnacentral:lncRNA from 1 species